rnacentral:ncRNA from 1 species
CCUUCGGAGUAUCAUACAAACGUCAGUAGCCUGUCCUUUGGGACGGCGAGAACGGAUACGAUGAACAAGGAA